GACGAACGCUGGCGGCGUGCCUAAUACAUGCAAGUUGAGCGAUGAAGAUUGGUGCUUGCACCAAUUUGAAGAGCAGCGAACGGGUGAGUAACGCGUGGGGAAUCUGCCUUUGAGCGGGGGACAACAUUUGGAAACGAAUGCUAAUACCGCAUAACAACUUUAAACAUAAGUUUUAAGUUUGAAAGAUGCAAUUGCAUCACUCAAAGAUGAUCCCGCGUUGUAUUAGCUAGAUGGUGAGGUAAAGGCUCACCAAGGCGAUGAUACAUGGCCGACCUGAGAGGGUGAUCGGCCACAUUGGGACUGAGACACGGCCCAAACUCCUACGGGAGGCAGCAGUAGGGAAUCUUCGGCAAUGGACGAAAGUCUGACCGAGCAACGCCGCGUGAGUGAAGAAGGUUUUCGGAUCGUAAAACUCUGUUGGUAGAGAAGAACGUUGGUGAGAGUGGAAAGCUCAUCAAGUGACGGUAACUACCCAGAAAGGGACGGCUAACUACGUG
rnacentral:rRNA from 1 species